rnacentral:rRNA from 1 species
UGUCCUACGGGACGCAGCAGUGGGGAAUAUUGCGCAAUGGGCGAAAGCCUGACGCAGCGACGCCGCGUGAGGGAUGAAGGUCUUCGGAUCGUAAACCUCUGUCAGCAGGGAAGAACGGUCACUGUGCUAAUCAGCAGUGAAUUGACGGUACCUGCAAAGGAAGCACCGGCUAACUCCGUGCCAGCAGCCGCGGUAAUACGGAGGGCGCGAGCGUUAAUCGGAAUUACUGGGCGUAAAGCGCGCGUAGGCUGUUGUGUAAGUUGGGGGUGAAAUCCCACGGCUCAACCGUGGAACAGCCCUUGAUA